rnacentral:rRNA from 1 species
AUUGAACGCUGGCGGCAGGCCUAACACAUGCAAGUCGAGCGGAUGAAGGGAGCUUGCUCCUGGAUUCAGCGGCGGACGGGUGAGUAAUGCCUAGGAAUCUGCCUGGUAGUGGGGGAUAACGUCCGGAAACGGGCGCUAAUACCGCAUACGUCCUGAGGGAGAAAGUGGGGGAUCUUCGGACCUCACGCUAUCAGAUGAGCCUAGGUCGGAUUAGCUAGUUGGUGGGGUAAAGGCCUACCAAGGCGACGAUCCGUAACUGGUCUGAGAGGAUGACCAGUCACACUGGGACUGAGACACGGUCCAGACUCCUACGGGAGGCAGCAGUGGGGAAUAUUGGACAAUGGGCGAAAGCCUGAUCCAGCCAUGCCGCGUGUGUGAAGAAGGUCUUCGGAUUGUAAAGCACUUUAAGUUGGGAGGAAGAGCAGUAAGUUAAUACCUUGCUGUGUUGACGUUACCAACAGAAUAAGCACCGGCUAACUACGUG